CUUCUCUCCACUACUACUGUCCCCCUCUCCACCUCUUCUCUCCACUACUACUGUCCCCCUCUCCACCUCUUCUCCACUUCUUCUCUCUUUCUGUGUCUCCCUUGUUCAUCUUGUCAGGUCAGUGUGGAUGUGAGAUGGGUUGUGGAUAUUCCUCAACUACCAGCACGGCUGGAGGAGGUCCAGCCGAAGCCUCCAAAGAAGAAGUCACAGAGGAGUCUGCACAAGAAGAAGAAAAAGGAUGAACUAUGGAGGUGUGUAUGUGGGACUACCAGCAGACCUGAGCAUUAUGCCUCCUAUCCAGAUGGGAACACACCAAGAUGAGUGAAGCAUCAUUGAAACACCUUUAACUAAAGGUAUGAUGUCAACAGCCCCGAUCUCAAUAUCAGAUGUCAAUAUCCUAUGUUAAACUCUCUGCCUCAAUCUCAGAAGUUCAUCUUUUGGGACUCUCACACCCACUACAGAGAGAGAACCUUCAGGAUAAUGAUGAUGUCAGCAAGAAUGAAGGAAGGAAUUGUUCUCUUUGAUCUCUGAUUGGCUCCGUGGGACCCAGUAGAACCCCUGGGGGACCAAUCAUCUCCCUCUCUUGCGCCAUAGGAACUGAACUGGGAUCAGUUUCUAAGGUGAGUAAUCAGACAAUGGGUCAUAUGCUCACCAUGGAUGUGACUGCUCAGGAAUCAGCGUUGUGUUUAAUAAGCACAAAACAGAAGAAAAAAGUCUAAAACUAAAUGAAAGGGAGAGGUACUUAUCCAAUAAGAAAUACUUGUUUUCAUUUGGGUUACACAAAAUUUGAGAACAGGCACCCUAAUGAACACGACCCAGGUCAAAGGGCAUCACGGAUGUUGGAGUCGGCAUUCACCACUCAGGAUCAUGAGACAAGACAACCUUCUACUCAGAACUAAAUGUCAGACGGGAUCAGAUAGGCCUAUUCAGAUCUCAGCAAUACCAGGAAACAAAACAAGACCUCUCUCAGAACUCCUAUUCAAAUAUUUCUUGAUUUUCUCUCUCUGUCUCUGAGUCAAUAGUUCUCAGAAAUUCUCUCUAUAGGAGCUGGAUCAAAUGUUCCCCAUUGUAUCAUUGGUUGAAUAGAGAAGAAUCUUUCUUCACUCAAUAUGUAGCAUAUGUAUUUGGAGCAUCAAUAUGUAGCAUAUGUAUUUGGAGCAUCAAUAUGUAGCAUAUGUAUUUGGAGCAUCAAUAUGUAGGCAUAUGUAUUUGGAGCAUCAAUAUGUAGCAUAUGUAUUUGGAGCAUCAAUAUGUAUUUGGAGCAUCAAUAUGUAUUUGGAGCAUCAAUAUGUAGCAUAUGUAUUUGGAGCAUCAAUAUGUAUUUGGAGCAUCAAUAUGUAGCAUAUGUAUUUGGAUCAUCAAUAUGUAUUUGGAGCAUCAAUAUGUAGCAUAUGUAUUUGGAGCAUCAAUAUGUAGCAUAUGUAUUUGGAGCAUCAAUAUGUAGCAUAUGUAUUUGGAGCAUCAAUAUGUAGCAUAAUUAUUUGGAGCAUCAAUAUGUAGCAUAUGUAUUUGGCGCAUCAAUAUGUAGCAUAUGUAUUUGGAGCAUCAAUAUGUAGGCAUAUGUAUUUGGAGCAUCAAUAUGUAGGCAUAUGUAUUUGGAGCAUCAAUAUGUAGCAUAUGUAUUUGGAGCAUCAAUAUGUAGCAUAUGUAUUUGGAGCAUCAAUAUGUAGCAUAUGUAUUUGGAGCAUCAAUAUGUAGCAUAUGUAUUUGGAGCAUCAAUAUGUAGCAUAUGUAUUUGGAGCAUCAAUAUGUAGCAUAUGUAUUUGGAGCAUCAAUAUGUAGCAUAUGUAUUUGGAGCAUCAAUAUGUAGCAUAUGUAUUUGGAGCAUCAAUAUGUAUUUGGAGCAUCAAUAUGUAUUUGGAGCAUCAAUAUGUAGCAUUUGUAUUUGGAGCAUCAAUAUGUAUUUGGAGCAUCAAUAUGUAGCAUAUGUAUUUGGAGCAUCAAUAUGUAGCAUAUGUAUUUGGAGCAUCAAUAUGUAGCAUAUGUAUUUGGAGCAUCAAUAUGUAGCAUAUGUAUUUGGAGCAUCCACGUUUUCUUUUCUUGAAUGUAUUCCAACAUGUUAAAUAUUUUUACAACAAAGUUUCCACAUUCUUAAAUAAAUCUCAUGGAAAUGCA